AGUGAACGCUGGCGGUAGGCUUAACACAUGCAAGUCGAACGGCAGCACAGUAAGAGCUUGCUCUUACGGGUGGCGAGUGGCGGACGGGAGAGGAAUACAUCGGAAUCUACUUUUUCGUGGGGGAUCACGUAGGGAAAGUUACGCUAAUACCGCAUAUGACCUACGGGUGUAAGCAGGGGAUCUUCGGACCUUGUGCGUAUGAAUGCGCCGCUGUCGGAUUAGCUAGUUGGGAGGGUAAAGGCCAACUAAGGCGACGAUCCGUGGCUGGUCUGAGAGGAUGGUCAGCCACACGGGAGCUGAGACACGGACCAGACUCCUACGAGAGGGAGCAGUGGGGAAUAGGGGACAAUGGGCGCAAGCCUGAUCCAACCAGACCGCGUGUGUGAAGAAAACCUUCGGGGUGGGAAGCCCUUUUGUUGGGUGAGAAAAGCAGCAGGUUGAUACCCCGCGGUUCUGACGGUACCCGAAGAAGAAGCACCGGCUAACUUCGUG
rnacentral:rRNA from 1 species